rnacentral:snRNA from 1 species
AGCUUUGCACAGUGGCAGUAUCGUAGUCAAUGAGGUUUAUCCGAGGCAUGAUUAUUGCUAAUUGAAAACUUUUCCCAAUACCCCGUCAUGACAACUUGAAAUAUAGUUGGCAUUGGCAAUUUUUGACAGCCUCUACGGAGA